GGGGAUUUAGCUCAGGGGCAUAAGCGCCUGCCUUGUAAGCAGGCAAUCGCCAGUUCGAUCCCUGGUACCA
rfam:Cavia porcellus supercont2_147 genomic scaffold, whole genome shotgun sequence.